rnacentral:misc_RNA from 1 species
GUGCCAAAGUCAAGGCAGCU